AUCCACUGUGCUGCCAUAGGUCAGUGUGUCUGGCUGUUAACCAGAAGGUUGGUGGUUCGAGGCCACCCAGGGAUG